UGAAGCUGCUGAAAAGGAGUUGAUUCGGCUUGGUGCUGUUAAACGCAUCUUAGAAUUGUUUUUUGAGUAUCCAUACAACAACUUUUUGCAUCAUCAUGUUGAGACUAUAAUAAUUUCGUGCCUGGAGAGUAAGAAUAUUCAAUUUGUUGACCAUCUUCUUAGUGACUGUAAUCUUCUCUUGAAAAUUCUCGAGGCAGAGAAAAACUCAACGCUUGCUGCUGAUCAAUCCAAGCCAACAGCCUCUGUUGAGGGAAGAACCCCACCCAGGAUUGGAAACAUUGGGCAUGUGACGCGAAUAGCUAACAAACUUGUUCAACUAGGGAACAAUAAUAAUGGCAUACAGUCGCGUCUGCAGGAGAAUAGUGAAUGGAUUGAUUGGCAGACAAAUAUUCUUCAAAAACGGAAUGCUGUGGAAAAUGUUUUCCAGUGGGCUUGUGGGAGACCCACAUCACUGCAUGACCGAAUGAGGGACAGUGAUGAUGAUGAUUAUCAAGAUAGAGACUAUGAUGUUGCAGCUCUGGCAAAUAACUUAAGCCAGGCCUUCCGCUAUGGAAUCUAUAACAACGAUGAACUUGAUGAGGCUCGUGGUUCACUUGAG
rnacentral:misc_RNA from 1 species